rnacentral:tRNA from 1 species
GAAGGGAUGACUGAGCGGUUAAAAGUGAUAGAUUGUAAAUCUAUUGAAUAAUAUUCUACAUAGGUUCAAAUCCUAUUCCCUUCA